UGGGGAAUCUUGCGCAAUGGGCGAAAGCCUGACGCAGCGACGCCGCGUGAGCGAUGAAGGCCCUCGGGUUGUAAAGCUCUGUGGAUGGGAAAGAAGAAGUGCAAGUUAAUAGCUUGCAUGGUGACGGUACCCAUUUAGCAAGCACCGGCUAACUCUGUGCCAGCAGCCGCGGUAAGACAGAGGGUGCAAACGUUGUUCGGAAUUACUGGGCGUAAAGCGCGUGUAGGCGGCAGUGCAAGUCGGAUGUGAAAGCCCACGGCUCAACCGUGGAAGUGCACCCGAAACUGCACAGCUAGAGUAUCGGAGAGGAAGGUGGAAUGCUUGGUGUAGAGGUGAAAUUCGUAGAUAUCAAGCGGAACACCGGUGGCGAAGGCGGCCUUCUGGACGAUUACUGACGCUG
rnacentral:rRNA from 1 species